rnacentral:rRNA from 1 species
CAUGAUUUUCUUAUCAAAGAUUUAUUGCUUUGAGAUGGACCCGCGGCGCAUUAGCUAGUUGGUAAGGUAACGGCUUACCAAGGCAACGAUGCGUAGCCGACCUGAGAGGGUGAUCGGCCACAUUGGAACUGAGACACGGUCCAGACUCCUACGGGAGGCAGCAGUGGGGAAUAUUGCGCAAUGGGGGAAACCCUGACGCAGCAACGCCGCGUGGGUGAUGAAGGUCUUCGGAUUGUAAAGCCCUGUUUUCUAGGACGAUAAUGACGGUACUAGAGGAGGAAGCCACGGCUAACUACGUGCCAGCAGCCGCGGUAAUACGUAGGUGGCGAGCGUUGUCCGGAUUUACUGGGCGUAAAGGGUGCGUAGGCGGAUGUUUAAGUGGGAUGUGAAAUCCCCGGGCUUAACCUGGGGGCUGCAUUCCAAACUGGAUAUCUAGAGUGCAGGAGAGGAAAGCGGAAUUCCUAGUGUAGCGGUGAAAUGCGUAGAGAUUAGGAAGAACACCAGUGGCGAAGGCGGCUUUCUGGACUGUAACUGACGCUGAGGCACGAAAGCGUGGGUAGCAAACAGGAUUAGAUACCCUGGUAGUCCACGCCGUAAACGAUGGAUACUAGGUGUAGGGGGUAUCAACUCCCCCUGUGCCGCAGUUAACACAAUAAGUAUCCCGCCUGGGGAGUACGGUCGCAAGAUUAAAACUCAAAGGAAUUGACGGGGGCCCGCACAAGCAGCGGAGCAUGUGGUUUAAUUCGAAGCAACGCGAAGAACCUUACCUGGACUUGACAUCCCUUGCAUAGCCUAGAGAUAGGUGAAGCCCUUCGGGGCAAGGAGACAGGUGGUGCAUGGUUGUCGUCAGCUCGUGUCGUGAGAUGUUAGGUUAAGUCCUGCAACGAGCGCAACCCUUGUUAUUAGUUGCUACCAUUAAGUUGAGCACUCUAAUGAGACUGCCUGGGUAACCAGGAGGAAGGUGGGGAUGACGUCAAAUCAUCAUGCCCCUUAUGUCCAGGGCUACACACGUGCUACAAUGGUAGGUACAAUAAGACGCAAGACCGUGAGGUGGAGCAAAACUUAUAAAACCUAUCUCAGUUCGGAUUGUAGGCUGCAACUCGCCUACAUGAAGCUGGAGUUGCUAGUAAUCGCGAAUCAGAAUGUCGCGGUGAAUACGUUCCCGGGCCUUGUACACACCGCCCGUCACACCAUGAGAGCUGGUAACACCCGAAGUCCGUGAGGUAACCGUAAGGAGCCAGCGGCCGAAGGUGGGAUUAGUGAUUGGGGUGAAGUCGUAACAAGGUAGCCGUAGGAGAACCUGCGGCUGGAUCACCUCCUUUCUA